UCUGGAAUCCGGCCCCUAAGAUUGCUGCUGCAGAGAAAGAAAUGACCACAGGAUUUUGCAGGCCUAUUUUAAAAGCCAGGCCUGCAAAUGACUUACAUCUCUUCCACCCACAUCCCAUUGGUCACAUCCCAGUCACAUGGACCUGGUCUAAAUGCAAGAAGGCCUACAAAAGAUGGGUACGUGGAUGUGUAGCAAACACUGACCAUCUCUGCCAUGCUUAUCCUUCAAAAUUCAUCUUUCUCCCCAAAAGCUGUCUUCUAAGCCGAAUGAAUCUCUAUUUCUUCAGUACCUAAAGCACUAUGUUUGCAAACCUAUUUAGUAGCAUAUAACAUCUUUUUUUAAUACGAUUUAUUUUAACUUCAUUUUUUAUCAAAGUGAAAAAAAAAAGAAGAACCUGCACAUUAUUGAAGUCCGUUUAGCAUGCCUCUUCAGGAAGAUAAACAGGAGCCUCUUACCACAGCCCUUUAGAGCCCUCCCUCUCCCUGCUCCAUUCUAGACUGUUUAUCCUGUAGUUCUGCAACUCAGUUGCCAUCUCAGCUCUUCCUUCUUCUUCUCUCCUACAUGGAAUCCUUGCAUCCUUCCCAUGUCAUUAUCUGAGUUAUGCUUUCAUUUUGUUAAAGAAAGUCUCAAAUGGCUUCUGCAAACAUUGGAGGCAAAUUUUCUGAGAUUCUGCCUACAAAAUGCAUUCAUUCUCCUCUGUACUUAAUGUAUUCUUUAAAUGUAUAUGGAAUUCUGAGCUUCCAUUGUUGACAUUGAGAAGUUUGAUGACGUUAUAAUUCUUGAUCCUUUGUAAGCAAGCUACUUUUCCUCACCUGCAUUUUAAAGAAUCUUCUUUAUAUUUGUGUUGUCCUGAAAUUUCCUUGCGAGGUGUUUUGCUGUGGAUCCUUCACGAGCCCUCAUUCUGGGCACUCAGUGGGUUCUUUCAAUGCUGGAAUCAUUGAAGACAAAGCCAGACAGGAUUUCAGGCUUCUCAAAGGACACCUGGCUCAACUGAACGACUAGCUUAUCACUCUGUAGGUCAUCCCGACCCUUAGAAACAGAAUUGAAGAGAGGAGGGAGCACCACGCAAUUGUCACACCAUUACUCCUAGCCCUAGAAAUGCAAUGAUAAAGAAGUUCAGAGAUGCAAAAGAGACGGCUGGAAAGGUUGGCUUCCUCCUUAGAUUUGACAAGGAUAAUUCCAGAGCCUAUAACUUCUAGUAAUAAGGUUUCAAAUUGACAGCAUUUGGAUGGAUGGAUGUUAUUGACAGAGUUUUCUUUAUGUUACUCUAAAGGCUCUCAGGAGUUAACAUGAUAGGCCACAGUCUAGAAGACAAAAUGAGAGUCAUUUAUGCAUUUUUGUGAGAUGUGCAUCAAUGAGAAAAAAGAAAUAGAAAAUUUUGCAUUUGAAGAUUCUGAAUAAGCAUCACAUAUCUGUUAUUGUUGCCAUUAGACUACUUUCCUUUUAUUUAGCAUUUUCAAAGCCAAACACUAUACCACAGGGUUUCUUUUGUUGACUUUACAUCUUCUCUUUUUAUAAAUGAGUGGGGUCUGCCACCUUAAUUAUAUAGAAUGAUAUUUCUUCUCCUUUUUCAUUUAAAUUCUGUUUAAGCCAGGCAUAAGGUACUACUUCCAUCUAAACAAAUUAGGUUAAUGGAGUUUUGAUAACUCAGCCACUUUUAUUCAGAAUAGGCCUAAAUUAUACAUAUGUGCUGCCAACUCAGAAAGGAGCUUUAUUUGGAAAUUACGGCUUUGGAUAGAUAAGAUUUUUUCCAACUCUAUAUAAUACUUACUUUUGACUUGCAAUCACUUGUUAUAGGCAUUUUUGUAGUAUAAAACCUGGACUAUGGUUAAGUUUUACCAAAGCAAGAAAUUAUAGAGAAUUAUUUGUCAGACAUAUGCCCACAGUAUGGAAUAUUUUCUCUUUUACUAUCAAAAAUGCACCAGGAAGGGUGUGGGUGUGCAACCUAAGCAGUAAUUCCAGUUCUGCCAUAAAAAAAAAAAAAAAAAAAAAAAAAAAAAAAAAAAAAAAAAAAAAAAAAAAAAAACAAGAAAGAAAGAUUACUUAGGAAUUCCAGAACACAAUUGUGUGGCAGGACACAAAUGUUCUUUUCAUGCAGAAAUAAAUUGCUUUAUUUACCUUCCCCCGCUUCUUGCAUUAGAAGGAUGAAACAUAAAUGUUUCCAUUCUUCACCAGGGAAUAUUUGAAAAUUAAAUCUUCCAUGAAUUUGAGAAGGGGAGAUAGCUCAUGAAGUUGAUUCUGGUUCUAAGGUUUAUGGACCAUCAAUGUCUAUUGAGAAAAAAUAAAAGAAAAGACUUUAAGAAUAAAGAGAAGGAGACUAGAUGGAAGAGUGAAGGAUAGGGUUCACCAGAUGGGCUGCUGACAUCUGGGGCCUGAUUCUAGCAAAGUUAGCUGGAAGGGAGAGGGCCUAUUGCCCUAGAAGACACAGUGAGGAGGAUGAAAUAGGAGCGUCUGCUUAUGGCUGUCCUAGAAUGCACUGGAUUGUGAAGAGAGAAGAGCCUUCACUGACAACCACCCAGAACCACCAAUCCACUCAGGCCAGAACCACCUAUAUUAGUUUCUUACCACUGCAGUAAGAAAUUACCACAAACACAGUGGCUUAAAACAACACAAAUUGAAUCUGCUACAGGUCUGGGUGUCAUGAGUACAAAAUAAGGCUUAAAGGUUCUGGAAGAGCUGAUUCCUUCUGGAGGCUCUCAAGAGAAUUCACUUUUUGUCUUUUCUAGCUUUGAUUCCUUGCCUCAUGGCCCUGCAUCACAUCAUUUUUCUCUCACUGCUUCUGUAAUCACAUCACCUUCCACUUUUGAAUAAUUACAGUCCUGGUAUAAGAACUCUUGUGACUAUGUUUAGGGCCCACCUGGAUAAUCCAGAAUAACCUCUACUUAACAAGAUCCUUAACUUAAUCACGUGUGCAAAGGCUCUGACCAGGGACAAUAGUUAAUGACCCCACAGAUAGAAUAACAUUGACCAUGUGUUGAAAAAAAAAAAGUUAACUUCAAUCCCAAAAAGUUAAUAUAAUUAGAAUAAUGUCCAAUGAUAAAGCCAACUUUGAGUUGUAGUGGAAUUAUAAGAGAAAUAUCUUAGUGUGGAGUUCCAGGAUCUCCUUAGUCUAUUAUUUUGUUAAUUAUUUAAAUUAACAAAGUUAAUUCAUUUAAAUACCUGCAAAUUAGCUGAAAUAAUGCAUGUUCUAAAGAGGAAGACAAAUCAUUAUUUUUCUAUAACUGGUCAUUGGAAAAACCAUUUAAUGCACACCUAGUCCAGUUCGUGGCACUGUUGCAUAUUAGGUUUGGUUGGCCCAGCAGCAGUGUCAAGCUAUUCACAGAUUCCCAUGGUUCUUGAAUCCCUUUCUAGCCAGGAGAGUAGCAACAUGUUCCCUACCUUGGAGAGGUGUAAAUCUGAAGCACAAGUGAACUGAUAUUCCAAUAAUAUCAGACCCUUUUAAAAGCUCAACACUCAAAAAAGAUGUGGAAAAGGUUAUGUUUGAAGACAAUACACAGCACAGGCAUCUUACAGUAAAUUUUAUUAGGUUUUUAAAGAGAAUUAUAGAUGAUAAUGGAUCUGUGGGAUAAUAGAUAGUCCCGGAGGAACUACAAAGCUGUGAUGCACGUGAGGGCCUCCACUAAUGCUGUAAACAGUGAAAGUGUAGGCCCAGCAGUUUAUGAAUAGUCAAUGUAUUCAAAAAAGAAAUUCAGCUUCAUAUUAACGUUGUUAUAAUCUACUGAUAUUUAAUUCUUAGUAAUGAUUUUAUUGAUUUUCAUAUUUUAGUAAUGCAAGCAAAUAAAAUGCCUUAGAACCUCAGAGAUACUAUUAGAAAUAAAAGCAUUUGCAUUUUUUCCUAUAAGUAGGCUAUUAUAUUAGCUUUUCAUUCAUUUAUUUAUUCAUUCAUUUUUUCAGUCAUUAAAUAAAUCUUUUCUGAGCAUUUGCUGUCCUGAUAGAUGUAUGGACACACAUAAUUGUUAUCACUUAAUUAUCUAUAGUUUUACAAUUUACAAGACAUUUUCCAGGUAUUAUCCCACUUAAUAGCUAUGAGGUGGGUAUUUUUGCCAUCUUUUAUGGAAGGGGAAACUGAAGGUUCACAUUAUCAAGAAUCUUCCAAAAGGUCAGCUUGUCUUGGGGAACAGGCAGAGCUAUAAUUUAACCUCAAUUAUCUGUUUCCAGAGCCAUCACAGCACACUGUUUGAUUUCUCCCAGCCUUUUGAAAUCUUAGUGUCUUCAAGGAGUCUUACAAUACAAGGUAAGAAACCUCUAUACCACAGUCUCAAGAAUGUGCAAGUAUUUUUCCAGGCUCCUAGGUAUCAUAAUUCACAGUUUCUGGAGAAUUACCCUUUCCAGUACCUCUCCUCAAACCAAAAGUUAACCACCUUUUCAACUUUCAUCUAAGGUUUUAUCUCUCGAUUAACAGCCAUUUUCCACAAUGAAGCACAGCUUGUAAUGAGUUCACAAAACUUACUGCCUGUAUUACAAUAAGGAAAAAACAUCGAAGCCUCACUGAGGUCUCAAUUUUAUGCAGCGCAUGACUUAGUCCCCAGUGAGAAAAUUCACCCCUGCAUGCCAGCUUUGCAGCAGACAAGAUUUGGGAUUAUACCUUAGAAAUGUUACAAAGACCGUUGAAUUGCACCUUUGUGGGGUCCUGUGAGUAAUCAAAUUUAAAUGUUAAAUCCAUGAGUGGUCAGCCUCUGUGAUAUGGAGAAAGUGCAGAAGUUGAAAGAAAGGGGAAAUUACAACUAAUGAGAACAAGGAAGACUUAUGGAGAAAGCAGUCAUGGAGCUGAGCAUUGAUGUCUAAGUUGGUGUUCAGUGGAAGACUGUGGGGAAGAGAUCCCAAGAGGAGAAAAUGUCGUGAGCAAAGGCAUGAACAAGGGAUAAGCUGGUUCUAUUCUGGGUUCACUAAGCCGCCAAUGGGAGAGUAAAGUAGGAGAUAAACUAAGGGAGUAAAAGGAGCUGGAAUGAACUGUAUUUACUAGCAAUAGAAGUUACUGGAAGUUUAAGACGAGGGUGAUGUACUCAAGGAAGCACAUUUGGCAGAAAUGCAAGGUGGAUUUAAAAACCUGAGAGCUUUCCAAUCUUCCUAUUUCUCACUAACAAAUAUGGAGACUAAAAAUAGCAGCUACUUAUGGUCCUGGCUGCAUUUGCACUACGGCAUAAGAAAGUGAACAAAUCCUGGCUAAUGAGAUAUAGAGGGAAAUCUUCUGAGAGUUAUCUGGGAAAGCUUUUCUCCCUUGAUAAGGAAGACUCAUGAAGAGAAAUCCUCCCUCUCCCUUCCUGCAGCGAAAUGCUCUUGUGUGAGAACCUGAUGCACGGAGCCGCAGCAGCUAUACUGUGACCAUAAAGGGAAGGUCAGGGAAGUCGCAGAAAACCACUCCAGAGCCCUGACACUGCAGACCUAUUGAAGCAACCGUGGAAACUCCUGCUUAAAAUCUUCUUUAUGUGAAAGGAAAAUUAAAUCCUGAUGAUUAAAGCUACUUUUAGUUUGUUCUUGUGUUAGCUUCAACCAAAAGUAGCCUGACACCAGAGGCUACAACAAUGAUGCUGGUGAAAGGUAGCAAUUUCCAGGAUGGUGCCAAUGAAUUUGGAAGUAGUGGGAUGUUUGUUUGUUUUGUUUUGUUGUUUUGGCUUUUAGAGACAAGGUCUGGCUCUGUCACCUAGGCUGGAGUGCAGUGGCGCAACCAUAGCUCACUGCAGCCUCAAAUUCCUGGGCCCAAUAAACACUCCUGCUUCAAUCUCCUAUGUAGUUGAGACUACUGGCUUGUGCCACCAAGCCCAGCUAAUUUUUUUAUUAUUUGUAGAGAUGAGGGUAAGGCUAUG
rnacentral:lncRNA from 1 species